UACCUGCAGCUCAAGUGGUGGCCGUUAUUAUUGGGCCUAAAACGUCCGUAGCCGGUUUAUUAAAUGCCUGGGUAAAUCGGGCCGCUUAACGGUUCGAAUUCCGGGUAGACUGAUAGACUUGGGACCGGGAGAAGCUAGAGGUACUCCUGGGGUAGAGGUGAAAUUCUGUAAUCCUAGGGGGACCACCAGUGGCGAAGGCGUCUAGCUAGAACGGGUCUGACGGUGAGGGACGAAGCCCUGGGGCGCAAACCGGAUUAGAUACCCGGGUAGCCCAGGGUGUAAACGCUGCUUGCUUGAUGUUAGUCGGGCUCCGAGCCCGAUUAGUGUCGGAGAGAAGUUGUUAAGCAAGCUGCCUGGGAAGUACGGCCGCAAGACUGAAACUUAAAGGAAUUGGCGGGGGAGCACAGCAACGGGUGGAGCGUGCGGUUU
rnacentral:rRNA from 1 species